UUAAUGGCUUUUUCGUGGGACCCACUAGUAGACAAUUGGGUUUGAUUUUGUUUUAUCUAUAUAUAUUGUAUGGUGUGAAAAGGUAGGCUGCCGACCAAAAGGAAAGGUGGGUUUGGUUUGGUGAUGCAAUUAUUGAUUUUGCUUUUGCCUUUUUGUUUUUUGCUUUUUGCUUUUUGACUAAGUCAUGUGUAUAGUUUUUUUUUUUUUAGUGAUGAUAUAGAAUAAGAAAAAAUGAAGAUUAGAUGGAGUGGAAAGACAAGAAAAUAGUGGUUGCCGAUAAGAUAAGGAAAGAGGUAGUGGCGGGUCCCACUUUGAUUUUUGAUAUUUGUUGGCUGAUUGGAGGGUCGGUGGACUUGGCUUAUAUAUUGAGGGAUUAUAUGCACUAAUUUUGUAUUCAGAGAAAAAAAAAUUUGAUGACAAACAGAGAGAGUUUUAAGACACUGUGAACCGAGAGCUCACACAUCUCGGACAGAGAGUUGAUGAUUCAAUGACGAAUUAUUUUGCAGUGUGAAUAAAGUUCAAACAGGCUAACAAGAGCCAUUUAGAUCAUUUUUGGAGCUAAGGAACAAAGUUGGAAAGAAGCCAAGAAAAUACAUCAAGGGAACUUCGAUCGAUCGAAGGGAAGUUUUGAUCGAUCGAAGUGGUCUUCAAUCGAUCGAAAUGAAGGCGGUGCCAGCUCAGCCAAUGGGAUCAAGCCUAGAAGAUAUUUUGUGCCAUGUCAGCUUCGAUCGAUCGAAAUUGCUGCUAGUAGUGAGCUGUCAAAUUCCCGAGCACGUCGUUUUCUACCUAACUUGUGCAAGUUGCGAGAUUCCUCCAAUCAAAGGCUGUAAUUCUAACUUGGUCCUUACUCAAAAGAGGAUGUAAUUGAUUUAUUGAGCAGUAUUGUAGAGACACCAAGAGAGAAAAUAUUAAAAAAAUAUAGAAAAAAAUAUCUUUUGCUCUUUAGAACUAGGGUUUUGGAAAGAAAGCAAGGAUGAAGAUGAUGAUGCCAACCUCCAAGCUAGCCCUUGAUGGUUCCAUGACCACUACAAUGAGUGGCUAAAUCAUUCACUUAAGGCUAGAGAUAACCCCUAAGUUUGCUUCCUAGACCUAAUAUUUUGUAUAUUUUUGGGGAUUUAAUUGUAACAAAUGUUUUGAUCUUGGAUUAAUAUAUAUCUUGUGGUUUCUACUUGA